CCCUGUAGCGCAGUAGGGAUAGCGCAUAGGACUUCUAAUCUAAAGAUCGUGGGUUCGAAUCCCACCUGGAAGA